GAGUUUGAUCCUGGCUCAGAACGAACGCUGGCGGCGUGCCUAACACAUGCAAGUCGAACGUGAUCCAGAGCUUGCUCUGGUGAAAGUGGCGCACGGGUGAGUAACGCGUAGAUAAUCUGCCUGACGAUCUGGGAUAACACUUCGAAAGAGGUGCUAAUACCGGAUAAGCCCACGGAGUCUUUGGAUUCUGCGGGAAAAGGGGGGGACCUUUUGGCCUUCUGUCGUCAGAUGAGCCUGCGUACCAUCAGCUAGUUGGUAGGGUAAAGGCCUACCAAGGCUACGAUGGUUAGCUGGUCUGAGAGGAUGAUCAGCCACACUGGAACUGAGGCACGGUCCAGACUCCCACGGGAGGCAGCAGUGGGGAAUUUUGCGCAAUGGGCGAAAGCCUGACGCAGCAACGCCGCGUGAGUGAUGAAGGCUUUCGGGUCGUAAAGCUCUGUCGAGGGGAAAGAAGUGUAUUGAGGCUAAUAUCCUUGAUACUUGACGGUACCCCUAAAGGAAGCACCGGCUAACUCCGUACCAGCAGCCGCGGUAAUAC
rnacentral:rRNA from 1 species